rnacentral:rRNA from 1 species
ACCGCAAGGGAGGAGCCGUCGAAGGUGAAGUCGAUGACUGGGGUGAAGUCGUAACAAGGUAGCCGUAUCGGAAGGUGCGGCUGGAUCACCUCCUUUCUAAGGAA